rnacentral:rRNA from 1 species
UACGUAGGUGGCGAGCGUUAUCCGGAAUCAUUGGGUUUAAAGGGUCCGUAGGUGGAUAAUUAAGUCAGAGGUGAAAUCUUGCAGCUCAACUGUAAAAUUGCCUUUGAUACUGGUUAUCUUGAAUUAUUAUGAAGUGGUUAGAAUAUGUAGUGUAGCGGUGAAAUGCAUAGAUAUUACAUAGAAUACCAAUUGCGAAGGCA